rnacentral:ncRNA from 1 species
CAGAUCUUGGUGGUAGUAGCAAAUACUCGAGAGGGGCCCUCGGGGGCUGCCGCCGUGGAGAAGGGUUUCUUGUGAACAGCCGUUGUCCAAGAGUCAGUCGAUCCUAAGCCCCGGGAGAGAUCCUCGUACCACGGGCGAAGGCGUUUUCGAAUCGCCCUUGGGGCGAGAGGGAAUCCGGUUCGUAUUCCGGAACCCGACGCGGAACCGCUCCCUAGUGUUCGGGGCUCUUUUUUCUCGUCUGGGUAACCAGAAUGAACUCGAAGAAGCCGCCGGGGGAUCUGGGUAGAGUUCUCUUUUCUCUGUGAGCGUUGUACGUCCCUGGAAUCCUCUAGCCGGGCGAUAGGGAAACGAGCGCGAAGAGCACCGCUCGUUGCGGCGGUGUCCGUGCUCCCCACGCGGACCUUGAAAAUUCGAGAGAGGGCCACGCGGAGUCUUCGAGUCGGUUCGUACCGAUAUCCGCAGCAGGUCUCCGAGGUGAGCAGCCUCUAGCCGCAUAGAAUAAUGUAGGUAAGGGAAGUCGGCCAAACCGAUCCGUAACUUCGGGAUAAGGAUUGGCUCUGAGGAGCGUGGUCCGGCCACCGCGCCGUCGGUCGCGUAGCCGGAUCGACAGCCAUGUAACGGUCAACUCAGAACUUGCACGGACCAGGGGAAUCCGACUGUCUAAUUAAAACAAAGCAUCGCGAUGGCCCGGGACGGGUGUUGACGCGAUGUGAUUUCUGCCCAGUGCUCUGAAUGUCAACGUGAAGAAAUUCAAGCAAGCGCGGGUAAACGGCAGGAGUAACUAUGACUCUUUUACGCUUACGUGGCGUGGCGUCUGGGUCCCCGAAAGCUUUCGGGACCUCAGGGAGCUUGGGUUAAGCCGUGGGCUGCUCGAGGGCUUGGUCACGCGUGUCCUCAAAGGCACCAAGCUUAACUGGUCUACGUUCAAUCAAAGAAAUUUGCUUAUUAUGAUAUAAUGAUUAUAUCAUAAUAUAUAUGUCAUUCAACGACAUUGCAGCCACCGAAUAAUCGGAUCAGAAUCAACCAAAGGCUUUGUCGGAUCAUUGUAGC